GCAAUAGAAUAGGUAUCUCAAGGGUGGUCGGCUCACUCCCAACAGAAAGGGGGUGAUGCUGUAUGACGGUAUUUGAUUUAUGAUUGCGAUUGCUUUUGCUAGUUUAAUCGUAGCCGUACUGUCAUUUAACCAAAAAAAAUAAUCCACCCUUGAGUUCACGGCUCUGGUGGAUUAUCUUCACUAUAUAGCUGACCCCCAUUGAGGGACCGUCUAUUGCUGGACCGAACAUGUGACUGCAUGUUCG
rnacentral:sRNA from 1 species